UGGGGAAUAUUGGACAAUGGGCGAAAGCCUGAUCCAGCCAUGCCGCGUGUGUGAAGAAGGUCUUCGGAUUGUAAAGCACGUUAAGUUGGGAGGAAGGGCAGUAAGCGAAUACCUUGCUGUCUUGACGUUACCGACAGAAUAAGCACCGGCUAACUCUGUGCCAGCAGCCGCGGUAAUACAGAGGGGGCAAGCGUUAAUCGGAAUUACUGGGCGUAAAGCGGGCGUAGGGGGUUCGUUAAGUUGGAUGGGAAAGCCCCGGGCUCAAACUGGGAACUGCAUUCAAAACUGGCGGGCUAGAGUAGGGCAGAGGGUGGUGGAAUUUCCUGUGUAGCGGUGAAAUGCGUAGGUAAAGGAAGGGACACCAGUGGCGGAGGCGACCACCUGGGCUCAUACUGAAACUGAGGUGCGAAAGCGUGGGGAGCAAACAGG
rnacentral:rRNA from 1 species